AAUUCUCAACCUUUUCAGCUUUUACUAGCUGGCUAGGCUUGGAUGUGGGGGUUGCGGGCUUCUCAGAAGUCGGCUCUCCUUAAAUGCAUUAGCGAAACCUUUUGUUGACCAUCUCUGGUGUGAUAAUUAUCUAUGCCGUUGAGAAUCAGCUUUAUUAUGAGGUUCUGCUUCUAAUCGUCCUCCAGGGGACAACUCUUGACA
rnacentral:misc_RNA from 1 species